rnacentral:rRNA from 1 species
GGGGCAAGCGUUGUUCGGAAUCAUUGGGCGUAAAGGGCGCGCAGGUGGCUCUGUAUGUCUGCCGUGAAAGCAUACAGCUCAACUGUAUUGUGUCGGUAGAAACUGCAGGACUUGAGGCUGGGAGGGGCUGGUGGAAUUCCCUGUGUAGCGGUGAAAUGCGUAGAGAUGGGGGAGAACACUCGUGGCGAAGGCGGCCAGCUAGACCAGUUCUGACACUGAGGCGCGACAGCGUGGGGAGCAAACAGG